UACGUAGGUGGCAAGCGUUGUCCGGAUUUACUGGGCGUAAAGAGCGCGCAGGCGGUCGUAUAAGUCGAAUGUGAAAGCCCCCGGCUCAACUGGGGAGGGUCAUUCGAUACUGUUCGACUCGAAGGCAGGAGAGGGAAGUGGAAUUCCGGGUGUAGUGGUGAAAUGCGUAGAUAUCGUAAGGAAGACCAGUGGCGAAGGCGGGUCUCUGGACAGUUCCUGACGCUGAGGCACGAAGGUCAGGGGAGCAAACGGG
rnacentral:rRNA from 1 species